rnacentral:rRNA from 1 species
UACGAAGGGGGCUAGCGUUGUUCGGAAUCACUGGGCGUAAAGGGCGCGUAGGCGGCUUUAUAAGUCGGGGGUGAAAGCCUGUGGCUCAACCACAGAAUUGCCUUCGAUACUGUAGAGCUUGAGACCGGAAGAGGUUAGUGGAACUGCGAGUGUAGAGGUGAAAUUCGUAGAUAUUCGCAAGAACACCAGUGGCGAAGGCGGCUGACUGGUCCGGAUCUGACGCUGAGGCG